rnacentral:lncRNA from 1 species
UUGAUAACUGAUUCAUAUGAAGUGAUUGACAAGCUUCCAUAAACUUGCACUUCCCGUUUGUAAAACCGAGCAACGCAAAGCUUCGGAAUUGCGACAAUGUAGAGAUAAAAGUGUCAUGUAUUUUGAUCCUGGUUGAUUUUUUACUGUAAAUUAAUAUAGUAUUCAUAUAAAGACGAAUACUAAAAGCUUGCAUGCUUUAUUGUGUCCUUGGCUUGUCUGACUCCUAAGCUAAGAAUAAUUCUUGAGAAAGACUGCACAAAUUCGCAAACCGAAAACUAGGGACAAGGCAUUAUAUCGCUUCUCUUUUAUGAAAC